CAAAUGCCUCAUCACAGUGUGUCCAAACUUCUUGUAGGGAGCAACAGGGCCUCUAUUUAAGCCUCUUGUUAGCCGAUCCACCAGCCAAGGUCAUGUUGCUUUCCCUUAAGAAUCAGAGCCCCGGGGAUCCUGUUCUAUCUGUUCUUUCCGCCGCCUCCUGUCUUUCAGCAGGGCAGAUGCCUCCCAGAAGUAAACCAGAUGCCAGGACUGUGGGGGACUCUUGAGCAGCAUCAGCCAAACUGUAGGAGCUGAGAAGAGGAAGCUUUGCUCAGGAAGACAGAAUCAGAGAGGCUCAGCAAGUGCCAGAACUCAAAUUCAAGUGCAACUCUGCCUGAUGGAAACUCAGGUGAUUUCCACUCUGCCUCCACCUGCAUUCCUCAGCACCAUGCAGUUGGUCCCCAGACUCUAUGCUCCAUGCUGCUUGUGUUUGUUGGUUGGCUGGUUUUGUGUUCAUGUGUUCUGGCUUCUUCAUUUUGGGUCUUUACAUCUUUACAUCUCUAGCAGUUCUUCCCAUGUUGUGUAGCAGUUGUCUCUACAUGACGGUCUGUCUUGUGAGGUUGAGCUCCCUGAAGGCAGCAAGCAUGUAAUUGGUAAAUUCUCAUCAGUUAGCCAUGUCUGGAACAUGGUAGGUAUUCAAUAAAGGUUUUUGCUCAU
rnacentral:lncRNA from 1 species